rnacentral:rRNA from 1 species
AAAUCCGCUUUGAUAAUGCUGGGAUGUGAUGGGGAGCGAAAUUUAGUAGCGAAGUAGCUGAUUUCACACUGUCAAGAAAAGUCUCUAUCGAGGUUAAAGGUACCCGUACCGCAAACCGACACAGGUGGGUGAGGAGAGUAUCCUAAGGCCAGCGAGAGAACUGUUGUUAAGGAACUCGGCAAAAUGACCCCGUAACUUAGGGAUAAGGGGUGCCACCAUCAGGUGGCCGCAGAGAAUAGGCCCAAGCGACUGUUUACCAAAAACAUAGGUUUCUGCUAAGUCGCAAGACGAUGUAUAGGAGCUGACGCCUGCCCGGUGCUGGAAGGUUAAGGGGAUCUGUUAGAGCAAUCGAAGCAGUGAACUUAAGCCCCAGUAAACGGCGGCCGUAACUAUAACGGUCCUAAGGUAGCGAAAUUCCUUGUCGGGUAAGUUCCGACCCGCACGAAAGGCGUAACGAUUUGGGCACUGUCUCAACAACAGACUCGGUGAAAUUGUAAUUCCGGUGAAGAUGCCGGAUACCUGCGACAGGACGGAAAGACCCCAUGGAGCUUUACUGUAGCUUGACAUUGGGUCUUGGUACUACAUGUACAGGAUAGGUGGGAGGCUUUGAAACCAGGACGCCAGUUUUGGCGGAGCCAUCCUUGGGAUACCACCCUUGUAGUACUGGGACUCUAACCAUAGGCCAUGAAUCUGGUCUUGGGACACUGUCAGGUGGGCAGUUUGACUGGGGCGGUCGCCUCCCAAAAGGUAACGGAGGCGCUCAAAGGUUCUCUCAGUACGGUCGGAAAUCGUACGUAGAGUGUAAAGGCAAAAGAGAGCUUGAUUGCAAGACAUACAGGUCGAGCAAGGAUGAAAAUCGGACUUAGUGAUCCGGUGGUUCUGCGUGGAAGGGCCAUCGCUCAACGGAUAAAAGCUACCCUGGGGAUAACAGGCUUAUCUCCCCCAAGAGUCCACAUCGACGGGGAGGUUUGGCACCUCGAUGUCGGCUCAUCACAUCCUGGGGCUGUAGUAGGUCCCAAGGGUUGGGCUGUUCGCCCAUUAAAGUGGUACGCGAGCUGGGUUCAGAACGUCGUGAGACAGUUCGGUCCCUAUCCGUCGCAGGCGUAGGAAAUUUGAGAAGACCUGUCCUUAGUACGAGAGGACCGGGAUGGACGUA